rnacentral:rRNA from 1 species
GGGGAAUUUUGGACAAUGGGGGAAACCCUGAUCCAGCCAUCCCGCGUGUGCGAUGAAGGCCUUCGGGUUGUAAAGCACUUUUGGCAGGGAAAGAAACGUCGCGGGUUAAUACCCCGCGAAACUGACGGUACCUGCAGAAUAAGCACCGGCUAACUACGUGCCAGCAGCCGCGGUAAUACGUAGGGUGCAAGCGUUAAUCGGAAUUACUGGGCGUAAAGCGUGCGCAGGCGGUUCGGAAAGAAAGAUGUGAAAUCCCAGAAGCUUAACUUUGGGAACUGCAUUUUUAACUACCGGGCUAGAGUGUGUCAGAGGGAGGUGGAAUUCCGCGUGUAGCAGUGAAAUGCGUAGAUAUGCGGAGGAACACCGAUGGCGAAGGCAGCCUCCUGGGAUAACGCUGACGCUCAUGCACGAAAAGCGUGGGGAGCAAACAGGAUUAGAUACCCUGGUAGUCCACGCCCUAAAACGAUGUCAACUAGCU